UACGGGGGGGGCAAGCGUUGUUCGGAAUUACUGGGCGUAAAGGGUUUGUAGGUGGCUUGCUAAGUCAGACGUGAAAUCCCUCAGCUUAACUGGGGAACUGCGUCUGAUACUGGCGAGCUUGAGUGCAGGAGAGGAACGCGGAAUUCCAGGUGUAGCGGUGAAAUGCGUAGAUAUCUGGAGGAACACCGGUGGCGAAGGCGGCGUUCUGGACUGCAACUGACACUGUAAAACGAAAGCCAGGGGAGCAAACGGG
rnacentral:rRNA from 1 species